GCGCGCCUUACACAUGCAAGUCGAACCGCAGCGCGGACUUCGGUCUGGCGGCGAGUGGACUUCGGGUGAGUAAUAUAUCGGAACGUGCCCAGUAGUGGGGGAUAACGUAGCGAAAGUUACGCUAAUACCGCAUACGCUCUACGGAGGAAAGUGGGGGAUCGCAAGACCUCAUGCUAUUGGAGCGGCCGAUAUCUGAUUAGCUAGUUGGUGGGGUAAAGGCCCACCAAGGCGACGAUCAGUAGCUGGUCUGAGAGGACGACCAGCCACACUGGGACUGAGACACGGCCCAGACUCCUACGGGAGGCAGCAGUGGGGAAUUUUGGACAAUGGGGGCAACCCUGAUCCAGCAAUGCCGCGUGUGUGAAGAAGGCCUUCGGGUUGUAAAGCACUUUUGUCAGGAACGAAACGGAGCUGGCUAAUACCUGGCUCUAAUGACGGUACCUGAAGAAUAAGCACCGGCUAACUACGUGCCAGCAGCCGCGGUAAUACGUAGGGUGCGAGCGUUAAUCGGAAUUACUGGGCGUAAAGCGUGCGCAGGCGGUUGUGCAAGACAGAGGUGAAAUCCCCGAGCUUAACUUGGGAACUGCCUUUGUGACUGCAUGGCUAGAGUGUGUCAGAGGGGGGUAGAAUUCCACGUGUAGCAGUGAAA
rnacentral:rRNA from 1 species